AGUUGCCGCCCCCGCCUCUCCUUCCACACCUCCCCGCAAGCUGAGGGAGCUGGCUCCGGCCUUGGCCAGCCUGAAAGGGGCUCCCAUAGUGCAGCGGUGGGCUGAAGGGCUCCUCAAGCGCAGCCAGAGUGGGCGCCAAGGCCCAGGAGGCACGGAGAGCGAGCGAGGGCUGCCAGGGCUGCCAGCAUGCUGUCACCUCUCAAUAUUAGGAGCAGAGAAGCCAGCUCAGCCAACCUGGCAUUCUGAUCUAUAGAAACUGAGAGGCUGUCUCUUUCCGAUUCCUCGGUUUUGACAAGUCAUAAGGAUAAUAUAACACUUUGUUUUAUUAUGUGGUGAGAAACUCUUCAGAAUGUUUCUGGGUCCAGCAUGGGCUUUGAGAGUCUGCAAUGGGAACUAGCUCCCAGAUAAGCCUGAUGUUUCUGCUCUUCAGGCCAUGCUUGGAGAGGCAACGAGCCAGACAGCACUGAGCCUUAGAAGAAAAGGAGGCCAGGCACGGUGGCUCA
rnacentral:lncRNA from 10 species